AACGAACGCUGGCGGCAGGCUUAACACAUGCAAGUCGAGCGCCCCGCAAGGGGAGCGGCAGACGGGUGAGUAACGCGUGGGAAUCUACCUAUCUCUACGGAAUAACGCAUGGAAACGUGUGCUAAUACCGUAUACGUCCCUCGGGAGAAAGAUUUAUCGGAGAUGGAUGAGCCCGCGUUGGAUUAGCUAGUUGGUGGGGUAAAGGCCUACCAAGGCGACGAUCCAUAGCUGGUCUGAGAGGAUGAUCAGCCACACUGGGACUGAGACACGGCCCAGACUCCUACGGGAGGCAGCAGUGGGGAAUAUUGGACAAUGGGCGCAAGCCUGAUCCAGCCAUGCCGCGUGAGUGAUGAAGGCCCUAGGGUUGUAAAGCUCUUUCACCGGUGAAGAUAAUGACGGUAACCGGAGAAGAAGCCCCGGCUAACUUCGUGCCAGCCGCCGCGGUAAGAC
rnacentral:rRNA from 1 species